UGAGCAAUCUGCCCUUCUCAUCGGAAUAAGCGUUGGAAACGACGUCUAAUGCCGAAUACGACCUCCUUUCGCAUGAUCGGAGGUGGAAAGCUCCGGCGGAGAAGGAUGAGCUCGCGGCCUAUCAGCUAGUUGGUGUGGGUAAUGGCCCACAAGGCGACGACGGGUAGCCGGCCUGAGAGGGUGACCGGCCACACUGGGACUGAGACACGGCCCAGACCUCCGUACGGGGAGCAG
rnacentral:rRNA from 1 species